GACAGAGGGUGCAAACGUUGUUCGGAUUUACUGGGCGUAAAGCGCGUGUAGGCGGCUUGGCAAGUCGGAUGUGAAAGCCCACGGCUCAACCUCGGAACUGCCUUCGAUACUGCGGGUCUCGAGUCCGGGAGAGGUGAGUGGAAUUCCUAGUGUAGAGGUGAAAUUCGUAGAUAUUAGGAAGAACACCAGUGGCGAAGGCGGCUCACUGGCUCGGUACUGACGCUGAGGCGCGAAAGCGUGGGGAGCAAACAGG
rnacentral:rRNA from 1 species